rnacentral:misc_RNA from 1 species
GAAAGCAAGAUUCUGAAGUUUCUUGGGUUUAUGUGGAAUCCUCUUUCUUGGGUCAUGGAAGCUGCAGCAAUCAUGGCCAUUGCCUUGGCCAACGGUGGCGGCCGGGGACCGGAUUGGCAGGACUUUGUCGGUAUUGUCUGUCUGUUGGUUAUCAACUCCACCAUCAGUUUCAUUGAAGAGAACAAUGCUGGUAAUGCAGCAGCUGCUCUUAUGGCUGGUCUUG